GCCGGUAUAGCACAAUUGGUAGUGCAGCACACUUGUAAUGUGAAGGUUAUGGGUUCGAGUCCCUUUACUGGCU
rnacentral:tRNA from 1 species